rnacentral:lncRNA from 1 species
GAGGGCGAGUGGAGCUAGACUGGGCUCCUCUGCUUUAGGAAGCUGGCUUUUAGCUGUGGCUGCUGAGGAGGCUAACUUUUAAUUUCUUUCCAUGUCCUACAGGUGACGAAUCUUUGUACAUUUUUAAGUAUUUGAUCGUGGUAGUGAAACACGUUUGAGUGCAGCAGGGAAAGCAGGCUGUAACCAGCCCUUGGGAUGUGUUGCCUAUUCCCACACCUGAUUAGUGCACAUUAAGCACAGACCUUUGAAAGUUAAGAAUUUGGAUCCUAAUUCUUCUUUGCUGGCUGUCUUCAUGUUUGGCACUCAGCAUGGACUGAACCUCCUCGCCUUUGGCGCCGCCUAUAGGAAUCUUCAUGGAGAACCACACCGUUGCAUGUCUAGCUCACCAUACUCCAAAGUUACCUGCUUUCAUCCUUGAUGCAGCUGAGGGGCUGUGGAGCAGGCAGCAGAGCAGACACAUGGUUAACUUGCUGCCAUGUGAAGCAGCAGUUCCCGUUUCCUGAAUCUUCACUGUUACUUCCAGGAUGGAUUGCAGAUCGAUGGAGUCUACAGCAUGUUCUUGUAUGUGAUCUCUACCACAUCCAUGCUCAGAGGAAGCAGCAUCUGCAUUUUCUCAUAGAAAGACCUUAAAACAUUGUCUUCGGGUUAGAUUUCUGUUCC